rnacentral:misc_RNA from 1 species
AGCAACCUCUUCUGGCUUAAACUGGAAAAACCAACAAACGGAGAGAUGGAGAAAACCAUGACAUAUAACUAGAAAUGUGCUAAGGGGAAAAAAAAAAAACAAAAAGAAUGGCGAAACGGAAACACAUUGAAAUCACAGAAAAAAAUAUCAUCCAAAAGGUUAAAUUGUAAACACAGAUCGUCUAAUAGGAACAUGAUUAGUAUAAUGAAGAUUAUUGUUUUUGUAUAUAGUAACAACCAGAUCCAAUCCAAAUCUAGAAAAAUUAAAGCAAUUAACAA